GAUGAACGCUGGCGGCGUGCCUAAUACAUGCAAGUCGAGCGAACAGACGAGGAGCUUGCUCCUCUGACGUUAGCGGCGGACGGGUGAGUAACACGUGGAUAACCUACCUAUAAGACUGGGAUAACUUCGGGAAGCCGGAGCUAAUACCGGAUAAUAUAUUGAACCGCAUGGUUCAAUAGUGAAAGACGGUUUUGCUGUCACUUAUAGAUGGAUCCGCGCCGCAUUAGCUAGUUGGUAAGGUAACGGCUUACCAAGGCAACGAUGCGUAGCCGACCUGAGAGGGUGAUCGGCCACACUGGAACUGAGACACGGUCCAGACCCCUACGGGAGGCAGCAGUAGGGAAUCUUCCGCAAUGGGCGAAAGCUUGACGGAGCAACGCCGCGUGAGUGAUGAAGGUCUUCGGAUCGUAAAACUCUGUUAUUAGGGAAGAACAAAUGUGUAAGUAACUAUGCACGUCUUGACGGUACCUAAUCAGAAAGCCACGGCUAACUACGUG
rnacentral:rRNA from 1 species